GGAAGGAUCAUUAACACAUUGUCCAUUUGUGGGUAAGAGAAAUCUUACCCUUUUCACAAACCUUUUGGAGAGAUGUUAAAGUCUUUUCUUUUUUUUAUACCUUUUUUUGGUAUAAUACGAAUCCAGUGAUUAUCAAUCUCUCUCUCCUGUGAGAGACGGGAACUGAUAUUGAAAACUAAACAUAACCAAAUGAUAGCUUACAACAAUGGAUGACUUGGCUCUCUGAUCGAUGAAGAGCGCAGCGAACUGCGAUACGUCAUGUGAAUUGCAGAUUCCGUGAAUCAUCGAAAUCUUGAACGCAAAUUGCACUGGUGGCAGCACCAGUGUGCCUGAUUGAGUGUCGGCCAUAAAUACUUUUUUUUCUCUCUUUUUUUUUAAGAGUGUAAGAAAACAAUGAGAGUUCAAUAGGUUGAAUCUUAUCUAUUGAUCUUUUAAAAUUGAAUGGAAGUUUUUCAGCCAUUCUUGACUGGGAUUCCUCGAUUAUUUUUAAUGGUGGUAAGUGUAUUUUUAAUAUACGCAUGACUCCUUGAAAAUGAAAUCGUAGGUUGAAACCGACUAAGAAUGUUGAGGAAUAUAAAGAUUAUAAUUUCUUCCAUGUAAUUCAAUUUUUUUGAAUUUACGCUAAAUCAAAAAUGUAUGUUCCGACUUUUAAAGACAACCUCAUUACUCGACCUCAAUUUAGGCAAGGUUACCCGGUGAACUUAAGCAUAUUACUAACCGGAGGAAAAGAAACUAACAAGGAUGCCCCUAGUAACGGCGAGUGAAGCGGGCAGAGCUCAAAUUUAAAAUCUGAGAUCCUUAUGGGUCUUCGAAUUGUAGUUUUUGGAUAGGUCAUCACGGGGUCAUCAUGGGUGGGUAUAAGUUCUUUGGAACAAGGCGUCAGAGAGGGCGAGAACCCCGUAUGCGACCUCCAUGGUGAUUCAAUAGGUGUUGGCCGUUCCACGAGUCGAGUUGUUUGGGAAUGCAGCUCUAAAUAGGUGGUAGAUCUCAUCUAAAGCUAAAUACUGCAGAGAGACCGAUAGCGAACAAGUACUGUGAAGGAAAGUUGAAAAGAAUUUUGGAAGAAAGUAAAAAGUACCUGAAGUUGUUGUAAGGGAAGCGUAUGGACCCAGUGAUGGUGCGCGAGCAUUCAAGGCCAUGGCGGCGAGGCGCGUUGCGGUGUACGAAGGCGAUAGCCGCGGACCCGUGAGCGCCGGCAGUCGAUCAGUGACCGGCAUUUGUUCGUGGCACGUGUCAACAUCAAUGCGAUUGGUCGGAGAAGGGCCAGGGGAAGGUAGGUUUACUCCUUUGGAGUCAACUGUUUAUAGACUCUGGCCACAUACGAUCGGUUGGAUUGAGGUGAACCGAGAACUCAUCGCUCUCAGCGAGGAAGCACGUCCGACUGGGACUACCGGCCGCUAUCGUCUGCUUGCAGGGAUGGUGGUACGGUGUGACUCACGAGGUGUGGACCAUCUAAUGAGUUCGGGAUGUUGACGAAAUGGUUCCCUACGACCCGUCUUGAAACACGGACCAAGGAGUCUAACAUGUAUGCGAGUAUUUGGGUGGAAAACCCAUAUGCGCAAUGAAAGUGAACAGGUGCCAAGUCCCCCAGUGGACCGCAGCAUCGGCCGGCUGGGUAUCGACCCGGACCGAGUUGGAGCACACAUGAUGGGACCCGAAAGAUGGUGAACUUUGCGUGCACAGGGCGAAGCCAGAGGAAACUCUGGUGGAGGUCCGUAGAGAUUUUGACGUGCAAAUCGAUCUUCUGAUGUGCGUAAAGGGGCGAAAGACUAAUCGAACCAUCUAGUAGCUGGUUUACGC
rnacentral:misc_RNA from 1 species